AGGAAUCAUAAAGAAAAAAAAAAAAAGAAGAAGUUGGGAAAAUUUCUCAGCAGAUGCAUCAUAUUUAUAGGAUGCUGAUCUCCUCAGUAUUUCUCCAAGCUACUUCCCUAAACAGGAGGACAUCUUUGAAAAAUUAAAGCACCACAGAAAUCAUAAAAUUAUGGGCUACCUUACUUAUGCCUAUGCAAAAAAAAAAAAAAAUGUGAUGUUAAAUUUUCCUACUGACCACAGAAUGAAAUAUCAUUAACAUUAUUUUGAGGAGAAUUGCAACAGAGGGCAAGAGGUGCUAGAACUCCAAAUUGUUGUCUUCUUUGUAUUACAUGAAUAGACAAUGAAAAUAAAAUGUUUAUAUUAAAAUAA